AGACCAGGAGCGAAGGGCAGCUUGGAAUUCAAACUAUUAAAAUAUCCUCCCAUGAAGAAAUUCGGGACCAAGAUGGUGCAUAGGUCAUUCCUGUCUUCACUCCCUUUCACAAGAACUAUUCAAGAACAAGACAUCACUGCAAGAAUCCUAGAACAUGUGGGUGAAGCAUCCCCCUACACAUUACAAACCAAAUGGACUGCAUUGGAAGGAAUCAAGAUGAACUCAUCGCCUCCUGUGAAGUCGCCUUCUCUCCUCAGCAUCCCAGUCUACAUUACCUCAUCCCUUCUUUAGAAUUUUUAUUUUAAUUUUUUUAUUUUUAUAUUCCCCAAACAAUUGCAACCCCUUUAU